AUGAACGCUGGCGGCGUGCCUAAUACAUGCAAGUCGAACGGGAGAGACCUCUUCGGGGGUCUUGAGGGUGGCGGACGGGUGAGUAACACGUAGCUGACCUGCCGUGUGCUGGGGGAUAACACCGGGAAACCGGUGCUAAGACCGCGUAAGCUCUGAGGCAUUAGAAAACUCAGAGGAGAACGCUAGUGGCAUACGAGGGGGCUGCGGGUCAUCAGGUAGUUGGUGGGGUAAUGGCUCACCAAGCCGACGACGACGAGGGGACCUGAGAGGGUGACCCCCCACACUGGAACUGAGACACGGUCCAGACUCCUACGGGAGGCAGCAGUAAGGGAUAUUGCACAAUGGGCGCAAGCCUGAUGCAGCAACGCCGCGUGCAGGAAGAAGGGCUUCGGCUCGUAAACUGCUUUUCUGGAGGACGAUGAUGACGGUACUCCAGGAAGAAGUCUCGGCUAACUACGUGCCAGCAGCCGCGGUAAAACGUAGGAGGCAAGCGUUAUCCGGAUUUACUGGGCGUAAAGGGCGUGCAGGUGGUUUUGUAAGUGGUGCGUGAAAGCGCUCGGCUCAACCGGGCGAGGCCGUGCCAAACUGCGGGACUAGAAACAGGUAGAGGAACAUGGAAUUCGGGGUGUAGUGGUGAAAUGCGUAGAGAUCCCGAGGAACUCCAGUGGCGAAGGCGAUGUUCUGGACCUGGUUUGACACUCAGACGCGAAAGCAUGGGGAGCGAACGGGAUUAGAAACCCCGGUAGUCCAUGCCGUAAACGAUGUUCACUGGGCGUUUGCCUCGCAAGAGGUGAGUGCCGCAGCCAACGCGCUAAGUGAACCGCCUGGGGAGUACGACCGCAAGGUUAAAACUCAAAGGAAUUGACGGGGGCCCGCACAAGCAGCGGAGCGUGUGGUUUAAUUCGAGGCUACACGAAGAACCUUACCCAGGUUUGACAUACCAGUGGUAGUGAACCGAAAGGGGAACGACCUUCGGGAGCUGGUACAGGUGCUGCAUGGCUGUCGUCAGCUCGUGCCGUGAGGUGUUGGGUUAAGUCCCGCAACGAGCGCAACCCUCGUCCUUAGUUGCCACCAUUCAGUUGGGCACUCUAGGGAGACUGCCGGCGUUAAGCCGGAGGAAGGUGGGGACGACGUCAAGUCAUCAUGGCCCUUAUGUCCAGGGCCACACACGUGCUACAAUGGGCGGUACAAAGGGUCGCAAACCCGCGAGGGGGAGCCAAUCCCAAAAAGCCGCUCUCAGUUCGGAUUGGAGUCUGCAACUCGACUCCAUGAAGUUGGAAUCGCUAGUAAUCGCGGAUCAGCACGCCGCGGGAAUACGUUCCC
rnacentral:rRNA from 1 species